UGUAUAAUGGGUCAGCGACUUAUAUUCUGUAGCAAGGUUAACCGAAUAGGGGAGCCGAAGGGAAACCGAGUCUUAACUGGGCGUUAAGUUGCAGGGUAUAGACCCGAAACCCGGUGAUCUAGCCAUGGGCAGGUUGAAGGUUGGGUAACACUAACUGGAGGACCGAACCGACUAAUGUUGAAAAAUUAGCGGAUGACUUGUGGCUGGGGGUGAAAGGCCAAUCAAACCGGGAGAUAGCUGGUUCUCCCCGAAAGCUAUUUAGGUAGCGCCUCGUGAAUUCAUCUCCGGGGGUAGAGCACUGUUUCGGCAAGGGGGUCAUCCCGACUUACCAACCCGAUGCAAACUGCGAAUACCGGAGAAUGUUAUCACGGGAGACACACGGCGGGUGCUAACGUCCGUCGUGAAGAGGGAAACAACCCAGACCGCCAGCUAAGGUCCCAAAGUCAUGGUUAAGUGGGAAACGAUGUGGGAAGGCCCAGACAGCCAGGAUGUUGGCUUAGAAGCAGCCAUCAUUUAAAGAAAGCGUAAUAGCUCACUGGUCGAGUCGGCCUGCGCGGAAGAUGUAACGGGGCUAAACCAUGCACCGAAGCUGCGGCAGCGACGCUUAUGCGUUGUUGGGUAGGGGAGCGUUCUGUAAGCCUGUGAAGGUGUACUGUGAGGUAUGCUGGAGGUAUCAGAAGUGCGAAUGCUGACAUAAGUAACGAUAAAGCGGGUGAAAAGCCCGCUCGCCGGAAGACCAAGGGUUCCUGUCCAACGUUAAUCGGGGCAGGGUGAGUCGACCCCUAAGGCGAGGCCGAAAGGCGUAGUCGAUGGGAAACAGGUUAAUAUUCCUGUACUUGGUGUUACUGCGAAGGGGGGACGGAGAAGGCUAUGUUGGCCGGGCGACGGUUGUCCCGGUUUAAGCGUGUAGGCUGGUUUUCCAGGCAAAUCCGGAAAAUCAAGGCUGAGGCGUGAUGACGAGGCACUACGGUGCUGAAGCAACAAAUGCCCUGCUUCCAGGAAAAGCCUCUAAGCAUCAGGUAACAUCAAAUCGUACCCCAAACCGACACAGGUGGUCAGGUAGAGAAUACCAAGGCGCUUGAGAGAACUCGGGUGAAGGAACUAGGCAAAAUGGUGCCGUAACUUCGGGAGAAGGCACGCUGAUAUGUAGGUGAAGCGACUUGCUCGUGGAGCUGAAAUCAGUCGAAGAUACCAGCUGGCUGCAACUGUUUAUUAAAAACACAGCACUGUGCAAACACGAAAGUGGACGUAUACGGUGUGACGCCUGCCCGGUGCCGGAAGGUUAAUUGAUGGGGUUAGCGGUAACGCGAAGCUCUUGAUCGAAGCCCCGGUAAACGGCGGCCGUAACUAUAACGGUCCUAAGGUAGCGAAAUUCCUUGUCGGGUAAGUUCCGACCUGCACGAAUGGCGUAAUGAUGGCCAGGCUGUCUCCACCCGAGACUCAGUGAAAUUGAACUCGCUGUGAAGAUGCAGUGUACCCGCGGCAAGACGGAAAGACCCCGUGAACCUUUACUAUAGCUUGACACUGAACAUUGAGCCUUGAUGUGUAGGAUAGGUGGGAGGCUUUGAAGUGUGGACGCCAGUCUGCAUGGAGCCGACCUUGAAAUACCACCCUUUAAUGUUUGAUGUUCUAACGUUGGCCCCUGAUCGGGGUUGCGGACAGUGUCUGGUGGGUAGUUUGACUGGGGCGGUCUCCUCCUAAAGAGUAACGGAGGAGCACGAAGGUUGGCUAAUCCUGGUCGGACAUCAGGAGGUUAGUGCAAUGGCAUAAGCCAGCUUGACUGCGAGCGUGACGGCGCGAGCAGGUGCGAAAGCAGGUCAUAGUGAUCCGGUGGUUCUGAAUGGAAGGGCCAUCGCUCAACGGAUAAAAGGUACUCCGGGGAUAACAGGCUGAUACCGCCCAAGAGUUCAUAUCGACGGCGGUGUUUGGCACCUCGAUGUCGGCUCAUCACAUCCUGGGGCUGAAGUAGGUCCCAAGGGUAUGGCUGUUCGCCAUUUAAAGUGGUACGCGAGCUGGGUUUAGAACGUCGUGAGACAGUUCGGUCCCUAUCUGCCGUGGGCGCUGGAGAACUGAGGGGGGCUGCUCCUAGUACGAGAGGACCGGAGUGGACGCAUCACUGGUGUUCGGGUUGUCAUGCCAAUGGCACUGCCCGGUAGCUAAAUGCGGAAGAGAUAAGUGCUGAAAGCAUCUAAGCACGAAACUUGCCCCGAGAUGAGUUCUCCCUGAGACUUUAAGUCUCCUGAAGGAACGUUGAAGACGACGACGUUGAUAGGCCGGGUGUGUAAGCGCAGCGAUGCGUUGAGCUAACCGGUACUAAUGAACCGUGAG
rnacentral:rRNA from 1 species